ACGCUCGACACCUACGUGAGGCAGCAGUGGGGAAUAUUGCACAAUGGGGGAAACCCUGAUGCAGCGACGCCGCGUGAGCGAAGAAGUAUUUCGGUAUGUAAAGCUCUAUCAGCAGGGAAGAAACUGACGGUACCUGACUAAGAAGCACCGGCUAAAUACGUGCCAGCGCGCGAGUACUNGCGGCGUGNGAGACG
rnacentral:rRNA from 1 species